rnacentral:ncRNA from 1 species
AUAAAGACGAUGAAAAGACGAGUAAAUCUUUACUAAGGUUUAAAGAGAGCCGAGGGAGCUGAAAAUCGGUAACAAGGUAAGGAUGGAAGAACAGCUUGGAGUUGCUAAUCGAACGGCUAUUGGCUUAGUAGACUUAGACGGGAUAGACCGUUAUAUCUAAAACGUAUCGAGUAAUCUGUACGUUAGUGAGAGGAUUUUAGUUUACUAAAGUCAAUUAGGGUGGCAAACGCGAAUCAACCUUCGUCCCUUAC